GAUAAAACGAUCCACUAGAAUUUAAUUAGCUCCCUUCCUUUCCCCAAAUACUUGAAAUCCCCGUAGGCCCAAAACAAAAUAAUUAAAGACCCCAAGUCUUUAUUUAAAAAAAGAAAUUAAAAAAAAAAAAAUUUUAUAUUCCUAUUUCAAAACAACACGUACACCCUCCCACUUCACUUUAUUUACACCUAAAAACUCCCAUUCCCAGAUUUAUUUACACCUACAGUUUCCUUUCUCCUCCGUCGCAUUUCUUCAAGAACACCCAAAUUGAACUCAAUCAUACAGAAAUUUAUCGGCCCUCUCAAAAAUCAAAACACAAAAAUUGAUCAAAAAUCAAAACACAAAAACUGAACAGAAAUUAGAGCUCCCUCCCUCAAGCUCUUGUCGGCCCCAUUCUCUCACAAAACAUCGAAAAUGAGAUUCCCAAAAUUGAAUCAUGUCUCGCUAUGAAAUCUCUAAUCCCGUCGGCGUCAUACCUCCUCGGUUUUUCUCUCUCCGUCACGCAGCACCUCGGCUCCAAUUCAUCGCCCGCACACACCGCCGUAGUCCCUGAAACUAGCCCCGAAACGACACCACGCAGCCACAAAACCAACCCGAACACCCAAGAUUACGGAGGAGGAAAAUCUCAUUACGGAGGAGGAAAAUCUCUACAGAAACUUUAAUUAAAACCUGAAUUAAUGCAGCUUAGUGACCAAGUCAACAUGUCGAAAUUAAUUAGAUUAGUUUAAUUCAAGGUCCUUUGUAAUUUAUUUAAAUUAUGCACUCCACAAUUUUUUUGUCACGGACUGAAUUUUUAUAUUAUUUAUUCAAUUUAUUCGAUCCAA